rnacentral:rRNA from 1 species
ACCGUACUCCUACGGGAGGCAGCAGUGGGGAAUAUUGGACAAUGGGCGCAAGCCUGAUCCAGCCAUGCCGCGUGAGUGACGAAGGUCUUCGGAUUGUAGAGCUCUUUUACCAGGGACGAUAAUGACGGUACCUGGAGAAUAAGCCCCGGCUAACUUCGUGCCAGCAGCCGCGGUAAUACGAAGGGGGCUAGCGUUGUUCGGAAUUACUGGGCGUAAAGCGCACGUAGGCGGAUUUGUAAGUCAGGGGUGAAAUCCCGGGGCUCAACCUCGGAACUGCCUUUGAUACUGCGAAUCUCGAGUCCGGAAGAGGUGAGUGGAAUUCCUAGUGUAGAGGUGAAAUUCGUAGAUAUUAGGAAGAACACCAGUGGCGAAGGCGGCUCACUGGUCCGGUACUGACGCUGAGGUGCGAAAGCGUGGGGAGCAAACAGGAUUAGAAACCCGGGUAGUCCUUGAC